CAGCAGUAGGGAAUCUUCUGCAAUGGGCGAAAGUCUGAUGGAGCAACGCCGCGUGAGUGAAGAAGGUUUUCGGAUCGUAAAACUCUGUUGUCAGAGAAGAACAAGUUGGAGAGUAAAUGCUCCAGCCUUGACGGUAUCCGACCAGAAAGCCCCGGCUAAAUACGUGCCAGCAGCCGCGGUAAUACGUAGGGGGCAAGCGUUGUCCGGAUUUAUUGGGCGUAAAGCGAGCGCAGGGGGUUCUUUAAGUCUGAUGUGAAAACCCCCGGCUCUACCCUGGAAGGUCAUUGGAAACUGGGGAACUUGAGUGCAGGAGAGAAGAGUGGAAUUCCACGUGUAGCGGUGAAAAGCGUAGAUAUAUGGAGGAACACCCGUGGGGAAAGCGACUCCCUGGUCCGUAACUGACGCUGAGGCGCGAAAGCGUGGGGAGCACACACGAUUAGAUACCCCGGUAGUCCACGCCCUAAACGAUGAGUGCUAAGUGUUGGAGGGUUUCCACCCUUCAGUGCCGCAGCUAACGCAUAAGCACU
rnacentral:rRNA from 1 species